rnacentral:rRNA from 1 species
AUUGAACGCUGGCGGCAGGCCUAACACAUGCAAGUCGAACGGUAACAGGAAGAAGCUUGCUUCUUUGCUGACGAGUGGCGGACGGGUGAGUAAUGUCUGGGAAACUGCCUGAUGGAGGGGGAUAACUACUGGAAACGGUAGCUAAUACCGCAUAACGUCGCAAGACCAAAGAGGGGGACCUUCGGGCCUCUUGCCAUCGGAUGUGCCCAGAUGGGAUUAGCUAGUAGGUGGGGUAACGGCUCACCUAGGCGACGAUCCCUAGCUGGUCUGAGAGGGUGACCCGCCCCACUGGAACUUGAACACCGUCCCGAGUCCUACGGGAGGGCGCAGUGGGGAAUAUUGGACAGUAGGGGGAAACCUUGUUCAACCAGGGCGAGUGUGUUGAAGAGGCCCUCCGGGUGUAAAGUACGUUUCGGGGGGGGGAAGGGAGUUAAGGUUAUAACCAUGCACAUUGACGGUACCCGCAGAAGAAGCACCGGCUAACUCCGUG